rfam:Brassica rapa chromosome A6, whole genome shotgun sequence.
GAGUUCUUAGCUCAGUGGUAGAGCAAUUGACUGCAGAUCAAUAGGUCUCUGGUUCGAACCCUGUAGAGCCCU